CUGCUUUUAAUACUGCAGGACUAGAGUCCGGAAGAGGAUAGCGGAAUUCCUAGUGUAGAGGUGAAAUUCGUAGAUAUUAGGAGGAACACCGGUGGCGAAGGCGAUCAUCUGGGCUACAACUGACGCUGAUGCACGAAAGCGUGGGGAGCAAACAGGAUUAGAUACCCUGGUAGUCCACGCCGUAAACGAUGAGUGCUAGAUAUCGGAAGAUUCUCUUUCGGUUUCGCAGCUAACGCAUUAAGCACUCCGCCUGGGGAGUACGGUCGCAAGAUUAAAACUCAAAGGAAUUGACGGGGGCUCGCACAAGCGGUGGAGCAUGCGGUUUAAUUCGAUGUUACGCGAAAAACCUUACCAACCCUUGACAUGGUGGUCGCGGAUCGCAGAGAUGCUUUUCUUCAGCUCGGCUGGACCUCACACAGGUGCUGCAUA
rnacentral:rRNA from 1 species